rnacentral:rRNA from 1 species
GAUGAACGCUGGCGGCGUGCCUAAUACAUGCAAGUCGAGCGAAGCGGGGACGGGUGAGUAACACGUGGAUAACCUCCUAUAAGACUGGGAUAACUUCGGGAAACCGGAGCUAAACCGGAUCCUUAUAAAUGGAUCCGCGCUGCAUUAGCUAGUUGGUAAGGGAACGGCUUACCAAGGCAACGAUGCAUAGCCGACCUGAGAGGGUGAUCGGCCACAGUCGAAUUGGGAUACGGUCCAGAGAGUUAGGUGAUGGAUCAGUAGGGAAUAUGCCGCAAUGGUGAUGGGCUGGACAGUGCAACGCGGCGUGAGUGGUGAGGAACAACGGUUCGUAAAACUCUGUGAUUAGGGAAGCGGUACCUAAUCAGAAAGCCACGGCUGACUACGUGCCAGCAGCCGCGGUAAUUC